GAUGAACGCUGGCGGCGUGCCUAAUACAUGCAAGUCGAGCGAACAGACGAGGAGCUUGCUCCUCUGACGUUAGCGGCGGACGGGUGAGUAACACGUGGAUAACCUACCUAUAAGACUGGGAUAACUUCGGGAAACCGGAGCUAAUACCGGAUAAUAUAUUGAACCGCAUGGUUCAAUAGUGAAAGACGGUUUUGCUGUCACUUAUAGAUGGAUCCGCGCCGCAUUAGCUAGUUGGUAAGGUAACGGCUUACCAAGGCAACGAUGCGUAGACCGCCCGAGAGGGGGGAUCGGCAACACUGAGACCGAGCCCCGACCCGACCCCCUCCGGGAGGCCCAAGUGGGCAGUCUUCGCAAAUGGGGGAAAUCCUACAGCAUCAGCGCCGGGGGAAUGAGGAAUGUCUUCGUAUCGAAAAACUCUUUUAUUGGGGAAAAACAAAUGUAGAAGUAACUAUGCCCGUCUUGACGGUACCUAAUAAAAAACCCCCGACUAACUCCGUC
rnacentral:rRNA from 1 species